rnacentral:rRNA from 1 species
AGUGAACGCUGGCGGUAGGCCUAACACAUGCAAGUCGAACGGCAGCACAGUAAGAGCUUGCUCUUACGGGUGGCGAGUGGCGGACGGGAGAGGAAUACAUCGGAAUCUACUUUUUCGUGGGGGAUAACGUAGGGAAACUUACGCUAAUACCGCAUACGACCUACGGGUGAAAGCAGGGGAUCUUCGGACCUUGCGCGAUUGAAUGAGCCGAUGUCGGAUUAGCUAGUUGGCGGGGUAAAGGCCCACCAAGGCGACGAUCCGUAGCUGGUCUGAGAGGAUGGUCAGCCACACUGGAACUGAGACACGGUCCAGACUCCUACGGGAGGCAGCAGUGGGGAAUAGUGGACAAUGGGCGCAAGCCUGAUCCAGCCAUACCGCGUGGGUGAAGAAGGCCUUCGGGUUGUAAAGCCCUUUUGUUGGGAAAGAAAAGCAGCAGGUUAAUACCCCGCUGUUCUGACGGUACCCAAAGAAUAAGCACCGGCUAACUUCGUG